UAAGAUAACUGUCUCACACGUUGGGUUC
rnacentral:sRNA from 1 species